rnacentral:rRNA from 1 species
UACGUAGGGACCGAGCGUUGUCCGGAAUCAUUGGGCGUAAAGAGCGUGUAGGCGGCCACUUAAGUCCUGCGUGAAAUCUUGCGACUCAACCGCAAGCGGUCGUGGGAAACUGGGUGGCUAGAGUGCGGGAGAGGAGAGUGGAAUUCCUGGUGUAGCGGUGGAAUGCGCAGAUAUCAGGAGGAACACCGAUGGCGAAGGCAGGUCUCUGGGCCACUACUGACGCUGAGAAGCGAAAGCAUGGGGAGCGAACAGG